GGCGGCCCCCUCCACACCCCGCGGGCCCCCGGACCCCGCCGGGCUGCUGCACCCCCUCCCCUUCGGGGGCGCCUCUGGCGCCGAGCGGGGAACCGGAGGCCCGCAGAAGUGGAAGCCCCGGAGAGACUUUAAGCAGCGGGACCCCGGGACUCCUCCGCAAGAGAGACACAAAGCUUCGGGGCUGGAGGAGCUGAGCUGAGGAUCAGCACGUUGGAGGGGACCGGGAACUCCGCACACAAAGGACGCUCCACUUGGCUGGCAGCCACGGUGUCACGAGUGGAGAAGGGGCAGGAUGGGGGGUGAUGAAAGAGGUGAGGGGUGAGGAGGGUAAGCGCUAAAGUGUGUUGGAGAGGCAGGUGGACAGGGGUGUUUGAAGCUUCUUACUCGGGAACUGCGCGAAGCGAAGCCACUGCCCAACUUACUUCCCCAGGAACAGUGUCACCUCCAGAAUGCUUCCAUCCCUCCGGGACAUCUAUCUUCUCCAAGCCCCAACCAUGAAAGAAACUUCCAAAUUAGCAGAUAUCGCUGAGAACCUAAGUUGUUCCAGGCACUGAUAGAGAGGUGUGAGUAGCAUGGUAUAAAAAGUCAUGAACGAAUUCACAUGAGGCAGUAGAAGAUGCACGUCUUCUCAUGGGAGAACUUCUAGAGGACUAAAGGUUACUGGCCUCUUUUAUUCUUUUCAUGAUGCCCACCCAUUCCUGUGAAUGACUCCUGUAGCAUCACUAAAAUGUCAUCUCCAGCUUGUUCUCCAGGAAGGAUGAACGUGUGGAAGCUGGCAUUUGAUUUCUUCCUGCUGGCUACUGACCUUAGAGAGACAGCAUGGACAGUGUGGAUACUCACUCUAACAUCAGGCAUGCUAUCAGAAAAGAGACAGAUAUGGAGGUUCUUGUACCAACAAGACUGUAUACUAUAUACUAGACAUUCUGGUGACCUGUAAGUCCAACAAAGAAAACAUAUAUCUCAAUUUAAAUC